GGGGCACUUGGGGGGCAGUUGGGGGGCAGUUGGGGGUGUGGGGGGGCAAUUGGGGGGCAGAUGGGGGGCAGUUGUGGGGCAAUUUGAGGGGCAGGAGGGGGUCGGGGUCUCUGUGGGUCUGCAGGGCUCCCUAUGGGGUCGCUGUGGGGCUCUGUGGGGUUUUAUGGGUCCUUAUGGCGUCUGUCUGGGAUGCUGUGGGAUUUUAUGGGGUUUUUAUGGGGUUCUUUAGGGCUCCCGUGGGUCUCUAUGGGGUUUUAUGGGGUUUUCAGGUCCCAGGACUCAGGGGAAUGAGGGAAGCUUUGGUUACGGUGCCUAUGGGAUCCCAUGGGGUUUUUAUGGGGUUUUGGUGCCAGGACUCGGAGGCGUCGGACUGGGAGGAGUGGGGGGAGCUUUGGGGUCUCUAUGGGGUCUCUAUGGGAUUCUAUAGGUCUCUAUGGGUCUCUAUGGGUCCAUGUGGGAUCUUAUGGGGUUUUUAUGGGGUUUUUGGUGCCAGGACUCGGAGGUGUCGGACUCAGAGGAGUGGGGGGAGCUUUGGGGUCCCUAUGGGGUCCCUUUGGGAUUGUAUGGGUCCCUAUGGGUCCCUAUGGGAUCCUAUGGGUCCAUGUGGGAUGCUAUGGGGUUUUUCUGGGGUUUUUCUGGGGUUUGUCUGCGUUUGUCCAGGACUCGGAGGACUCGGAGGCGUCGGACUCGGAGGAGUGGGGCAGCUCGGGGUCGGGGACGGAUUCGGAGUCGGACGAGGAGGAGGGGAAGUUCACCUCGCUGGCCUCCAAGUUCCUCAAGAAGUGCGCCCCAUAGCCGCCCCAUAGCCGCCCCACAACUGCCCCACAGCUGCCCCAUAAGUGCCCCACAGCCGCCCCAUAGCUGCCCCAUAAGUGCCCCACAGCCGCCCCAUAGCUGCCCCAUAAGUGCCCCACAGCCGCCCCACAGCCGCCCCACAGCCGCCCCACAGCCGC
rnacentral:lncRNA from 1 species